AGUGAGCGUAAAGGGAUCGCAGGUAUUAUUUAUUUGUCCACGCCAUUCGCAACGUUAUAACUCAAAUCGCGGAAUUGGAUUAUCCUCAUGAGAAACGCGAUGUAUCUAACAAAAACCCAAUGAUAAAACGUAAAAGAAAAAGAGUGUCCUGUCAGAAUCAAAGUUUGAAGAGAUUGUCACUAUUUCUAUAUCGCAGACGUAUCGAUCGUCUCAAUAUACAAUGUAUAGUAACUUUCUGUGACUUGUGAUUUAAUUUUCUUGAUGCUGAAGUUAUCCUGAAAGCUUUCUUUCUUAUCUAACAAUGCAGAAUUAUAUUCGGUAGUGCAAUGUAAUGCUAUCACAACGCAUAUCAGUACAACGUGAUCCGUUUCAAGCAAAGCAUCACAUGUUUGUUUAUUUAUUAAAGCUAUUCUACCAACAAGAGUGUUUAGGAUUUAUAAAGGCUUCAACUCAAUCUUGAUGAUACUGCGAGUAUUGUCGCUGGUAAACGAUGUCAGUGACAGUGAGAUUAAGGUACUUAGUCGCCAGUGGCGCAUCAAAAGGGAAGAUCCAUUCUGUAGCUCGGUGACACGUAUUGUUGGUAAACGCGUCUUUUGUCAUCCAAUUGAUCCUGGAAUGUGCCAUCUGCGACGCAGGAAAACUACACGCGGUGACAAUCUUGGAUGGCGUCUUUGCCCUCACAUAUCGGAGUUACGUCAAAACGUCGCGAAGACUGCGACGUGAAAACUUUCAAAGUGGAAAUACAUUUAUCUCCAACACUGUAUUCUUUUAAAUAAACUGACAACGUUGAAAGGAUGUCAGAAUGAAAUAUACAUUCCUUCUUUCAUCAAAGCAUCACCGAUGGAAUUCAACGUACUAUCGACAUUAAAUCACACAGAAAAUUUGACGAGGAUGUGGAAUAACCGUACGAUUAUAUCACGCCGUUGAAAAGCGUAAGCUGCUUGUGCAUAUCGAUUGCAAUCCAAUGUUGCACUGUGCGCGCUCGAUUUAACUAUCGCCGGAAAUAAUUGCAGAUUCAAACAAUGCUGCGCUGCCUAAUACUUAAUGUUCAGUUGCUAUACAGUGUCGAAUCAGAUCGCACGCAUAUAAAAAUAAACGCGAUGCGAUACGAAACGUUAUACUUUCGUCCUCAUGUUUUAGUCAUUUUUUAUCAACGACUGUGCUCAUGAUAGAUGGAACAAAAUCACGUCUCGUAGAAAUUUAAUUCAGAUAUCAAAUCAGAAGAGCAUGUAAUAUGCAGAAGAUAUGAUUGAUUAAUAAAUUAACGAAAUUAAUAUUGAUUAAUGUAGAUGAGCAAGUUAGUGAAUCAAUAUCCUACGUAACUGAAUGAGCAAAAUAAUAAACAAUAUUUGGAGUUGAUCAUUAUAAUAAAUUCUAUUUGCUAUUAAGAAAGAUGCGAAAAGUGCAUAAUAAAUUACGACAAUAUAUGAAAAAUGUUUUCAGCUUAAUUAUUUACGAUUCAUUGUUAUGCAUUUCUAACCAAUAAUGUAUGAAAUUUUGACAAGUGUCGAUUUUCAACGAAAUAAAAAUAUUUCUAAUAAUA